rnacentral:rRNA from 1 species
GACGAACGCUGGCGGCGUGCCUAACACAUGCAAGUCGAACGGGCCCGCCCCUGUUUUUGGGGGUGGGUUGAGUGGCGAACGGGUGAGUAUCACGUGAGUAACCUGCCCCCUGCUCCUGGAUAACUGCUUGAAAGGGCGGCUAAUACGGGGUGUGCCGGCUGGUCCGCAUGGGCCUGGUCGGGAUAGUUUCAUCUUCGGGUGUUUCGGUGGGGGAUGGGCUCGCGGCCUAUCAGCUUGUUGGUGGGGUGAUGGCCCACCAAGGCGGUGACGGGUAGCCGGCCUGGGAGGGUGGGCGGCCACACUGGGACUGAGACACGGCCCAGACUCCUGCGGGAGGCAGCAGUGGGGGGUAUUGCACAAUGGGCGGAAGCCUGAUGCAGCGACGUCGCGUGAGGGAUGGAGGCCUUCGGGUUGUGAACCUCUUUCUCCGGUGGUGAAGGCCCUGUCCGUUGCGGCGGGGUUGACGGUAGCCGGGUAUGAAGCGCCGGCUAACUACGUG